rnacentral:rRNA from 1 species
AAGACGAGAAGACCCUAUAGAGUUUUAUAUAUUAGUUAAUUAUGAGUUUUUGGUUAUUUAAUUUUUUAAUUAAUUUUUAUAUUUGGUUGGGGUGACUAAAAGAUUAAUUAAACUCUUUAAAAAUUUUGAAUCAUAGAUUUAUGAUUUUUUAAUCUAGUUUUUCUAAAUUUAAAAUAAAUUACCUUAGGGAUAACAGCGUAAUUUCUUUUUAGAGUUCUUAUUGAAAGAGAAGUUUGCGACCUCGAUG